GCGUGAUGACGAGGCACUACGGUGCUGAAGCAACAAAUGCCCUGCUUCCAGGAAAAGCCUCUAAGCAUCAGGUAACAUCAAAUCGUACCCCAAACCGACACAGGUGGUCAGGUAGAGAAUACCAAGGCGCUUGAGAGAACUCGGGUGAAGGAACUAGGCAAAAUGGUGCCGUAACUUCGGGAGAAGGCACGCUGAUAUGUAGGUGAAGUCCCUCGCGGAUGGAGCUGAAAUCAGUCGAAGAUACCAGCUGGCUGCAACUGUUUAUUAAAAACACAGCACUGUGCAAACACGAAAGUGGACGUAUACGGUGUGACGCCUGCCCGGUGCCGGAAGGUUAAUUGAUGGGGUCAGCGCAAGCGAAGCUCUUGAUCGAAGCCCCGGUAAACGGCGGCCGUAACUAUAACGGUCCUAAGGUAGCGAAAUUCCUUGUCGGGUAAGUUCCGACCUGCACGAAUGGCGUAAUGAUGGCCAGGCUGUCUCCACCCGAGACUCAGUGAAAUUGAACUCGCUGUGAAGAUGCAGUGUACCCGCGGCAAGACGGAAAGACCCCGUGAACCUUUACUAUAGCUUGACACUGAACAUUGAGCCUUGAUGUGUAGGAUAGGUGGGAGGCUUAGAAGUGUGGACGCCAGUCUGCAUGGAGCCGACCUUGAAAUACCACCCUUUAAUGUUUGAUGUUCUAACGUUGACCCGUGAUCCGGGUUGCGGACAGUGUCUGGUGGGUAGUUUGACUGGGGCGGUCUCCUCCUAAAGAGUAACGGAGGAGCACGAAGGUUGGCUAAUCCUGGUCGGACAUCAGGAGGUUAGUGCAAUGGCAUAAGCCAGCUUGACUGCGAGCGUGACGGCGCGAGCAGGUGCGAAAGCAGGUCAUAGUGAUCCGGUGGUUCUGAAUGGAAGGGCCAUCGCUCAACGGAUAAAAGGUACUCCGGGGAUAACAGGCUGAUACCGCCCAAGAGUUCAUAUCGACGGCGGUGUUUGGCACCUCGAUGUCGGCUCAUCACAUCCUGGGGCUGAAGUAGGUCCCAAGGGUAUGGCUGUUCGCCAUUUAAAGUGGUACGCGAGCUGGGUUUAGAACGUCGUGAGACAGUUCGGUCCCUAUCUGCCGUGGGCGCUGGAGAACUGAGGGGGGCUGCUCCUAGUACGAGAGGACCGGAGUGGACGCAUCACUGGUGUUCGGGUUGUCAUGCCAAUGGCACUGCCCGGUAGCUAAAUGCGGAAGAGAUAAGUGCUGAAAGCAUCUAAGCACGAAACUUGCCCCGAGAUGAGUUCUCCCUGACCCUUUAAGGGUCCUGAAGGAACGUUGAAGACGACGACGUUGAUAGGCCGGGUGUGUAAGCGCAGCGAUGCGUUGAGCUAACCGGUACUAAUGAACCGUGAGG
rnacentral:rRNA from 1 species